UACGUAGGGGACAAGCGUUGUCCGGAAUUAUUGGGCGUAAAGAGCGUGUAGGCGGCCAGGUAGGUCCGUUGUGAAAACUGGAGGCUUAACCUCCAGCUGUCGAUGGAAACCAUCUGGCUAGAGUCCGGAAGAGGAGACUGGAAUUCCUGGUGUAGCGGUGAAAUGCGCAGAUAUCAGGAGGAACACCGGUGGCGAAGGCGGGUCUCUGGGCCGAUACUGACGCUGAGGAGCGAAAGCGUGGGGAGCGAACAGG
rnacentral:rRNA from 1 species